CCGCCGCCGCGGCCGCCGAAGUUCCGGCGAGGAGCGCCGGCCUCGCCCACCUUAUCUCUCAUUCUUUUGACUCAAUUUGGGCAUUCACAAACUCACACCACCGCCCAAUUUCUCAAUCUCCGGUGAACGGCAGUGAGGCCGCCGCCACUCUCCCUCAAAAUCUCACUUAAGCACCGCCUCAAUCUGAAAAGGUUCCAGCCGCCACCACCGCCUGUAUCUCAAGAGGCGGCGCCGCUCUCUCCUCUAAACCCUAGAUCCCUAAUUCCUCCGUCUGAAACCCUAGGGCCCCAGAUCUAGACUCCACCCUCUCCGGCCUCUGGCAUCAAUAGCAGCUCCUCGCCGCCGUGCCUGGACUUCCUUGAUCCCGAGUCAUACGGCGGCUAAGGGUCACCGGCGACACACUCUUUAAUUUUUAUGAAGCAGGAUUAAGUUUAUUUAGCCACAUCAGCCUCCAGAUUGGAGUCACCAAGCUUUAAGCUGCUCGGUAUCAUGUCUGUCAUUUAUGUGGGGAUACUAUUAACAGUUGCAAGAGAGGCAGAAUUUGAGUUUUGGGGUUUCAUAUUCGUUAUGCUUGCUGCUGUCAUGUCUGGGUUUCGGUGGACAAUGACACAAAUACUUCUCCAGAAAGAAACCUAUGGUCUUAAAAAUCCACUUACUUUGAUGAGCUAUGUGACCCCUAUAAUGGCAAUUGCAACUGGUGUUCUUUCUUUGAUGCUGGAUCCAUGGCACGAAUUGAGAAAGAACGAUUACUUUAAUAGCUCAUCGCAUAUUCUGAGAAGUAGUUUGCUAAUGUUGUUUGGUGGCACUCUGGCUUUCUUCAUGGUAUUAACAGAAUAUGUUCUUGUGUCUGUAACAAGUGCAGUAACAGUUACAAUAGCAGGGGUUGUGAAGGAAGCUGUUACUGAGCUACUUUUGUUUGAUUUUAAGUCAAAGCUUCUGUACGGUGUAUAUGAAGCAACUUCUGAUGGAGGUCUUAACUUGGAACCUACUGCUUUUGGAGGGAAAUUCCCUGCUCAGGUAAAAUUCAAAAUUUUCAAGGAAUGUCUUCCAAUUCCUGAGAGUUCCCUUAGGUAUGUUAUAAAGGAGAACUAUACAGGUGCAAAAUUUAAGCAAGAACUCAAUGUAAAGCAAGUAAGUUGUCUCUUCCAUAUCCACUGGAGUUCAAUUUAUUUGGAUCUGUACAUUGUCAUUAUUUUUUUUGUUGUGUAUGCUAAAGAAGAAACUUAUCAAUGGAAGCAGGUGACAAAAUUGAUAUCAGCUUUUAGUCCUUUGGCUGCAUCUAUAUGAUAGAAAUUGGGGGAUAUUGAGCAUGUUACUAUGUGUUGAGCCAAUUUUGAUUUAUGAAUAAGGGAAGAACGACUUUUAGUAUUGAGUGGAGAACUUGUGGUGAUUGGUUGUGUUAUAACUUGCUUUCUUGGUGUUGAUGAGUUAAAUAUGAUUUAAAUUUCAAGCUAAAGCAUGUUAAUGUGUAGUAAGAUGAUGUAUUUGAGAUAUUAUAGCUUUUAUUUGGCCAAAAUAUGAGUUAUAUGUUGAGUUUCAACAGAAACUGUAUUGCUGUCAAGUUUGGCUGGACAAACCAAUGUCUUGUGAGGGAUUUUCGAGAGUGUUCCUAUUGUCCAAAUAACUUGAAAUUUUUACUGUAAUAACUUCAGCAUGAGUAGGAGGUUUCUGUAAAAUUUCAGCUAAAUUGGACACCGUUAGAUAUGUCAAACAAUUUUCUUAAAAGUACUGCGCGAAGCAGCAAGGUUCUGUGGCAGAUUCUGCAUUUUGUGAGAUAAUUUCUUAUACACUUGAGAAGAUAUUGUAUUUUUGUAACUUUCUAAUAAAGAUAGACUUUAAUAGCUUUCUUAAAAGGUAAAGCUUGCAUUUUUCUUUGAAAAUGUUGAUUUUAUAUGAUUUUUCAAAGUUGAGAUAAUGAUUUUUCAAAGUUGAGAUUCAUGUUUCUUACUUGAGAAAGUUAUGAAUAGAAUUAUGCUAAGUAAUUGAUGUUUCAGUUAUUCCCUUCUUCAUUCCCUCGGACUAUAUUCAACUAUACGGUAUAUAUGUAACGUUGUGAGAGAGAGCAGAGUUGAAAUAUCUCUUUCAUAUUUCUUUUAUUUAAGAAGCUCGGGUUGGCUAUGUUUUGCAGGUGAACUCGCUCGUGUUGGUGCAUGUUCAAUAUUGUGAUUGAGUUUAUCAUCUUGGCGGAUCAAGUAGAUGGGAGUCGAUGAGCUAUGAGGACUACUACAAACGAGAAGGCUGCAGCAGAGAACGUCGUUUCAAAUGUCUAGCAAGUUGCGCGCAUUUGUAAUAUUUUUUAAUUAAACAUCUAGCUAAAUAGAAUAUAUGUGAAGUUUUCAUUAUAUUUGGAUGAUAAUGUAUGAAUAUUUUGGAUGAUAUAUAAUAUUGUUAUUGUUGAUUU